AGAAUCAACGCUGGCGGCGUGCCUAACACAUGCAAGUCGAACGAGAAAGUGGAGCAAUCCAUGAGUAAAGUGGCGCACGGGUGAGUAACACGUGACUAACCUACCCUUGAGUGGGGAAUAACUGAGGGAAACCUUAGCUAAUACCGCAUAAUACCCACGGGUCAAAGCAGCAAUGCGCUUGGAGAGGAGUUCGCGGCCGAUUAGCUAGUUGGCGGGGUAAUGGCCCACCAAGGCGAUGAUCGGUA
rnacentral:rRNA from 1 species